GGAUUCGAUCAUAACAGCACUAAAGCACCGGAUCCCAUCAGAACUCCGAAGUUAAGCAUGCUUGGGCGAGAGUAGUACUAGGAUGGGUGACCUCCUGGGAAGUCCUCGUGUUGCAUUCC
rnacentral:rRNA from 16 species